rnacentral:piRNA from 1 species
UGGCAGGUCACCCCACAAGGGCAGCAGCUGCU